AGAACGAACGCUGGCGGCAGGCCUAAUACAUGCAAGUCGAACGCACUCUUCGGAGUGAGUGGCAGACGGGUGAGUAACGCGUGGAAACCUUCCCAAUAGUACGGAAUAACUCCGGGAAACCGGUGCUAAUACCGUAUAAGCCCUUCGGGGGAAAGAUUUAUCGCUAUUGGAUGGGUCCGCGUCGGAUUAGCUUGUUGGUAGGGUAAUGGCCUACCAAGGCGACGAUCCGUAGCUGGUCUGAGAGGAUGAUCAGCCACACUGGGACUGAGACACGGCCCAGACUCCUACGGGAGGCAGCAGUAGGGAAUCUUGGACAAUGGGCGAAAGCCUGAUCCAGCCAUGCCGCGUGAGUGAAGAAGGCCUUAGGGUUGUAAAGCUCUUUUGGCGGGGACGAGUAAUGACGGUACCCGCAGAAUAAGCUCCGGCUAACUUCGUGCCAGCAGCCGC
rnacentral:rRNA from 1 species